rnacentral:rRNA from 1 species
GACGAACGCUGGCGGCGCGCCUAACACAUGCAAGUCGAACGAGAGAGAGGGAGCUUGCUUCCUCAAUCGAGUGGCGAACGGGUGAGUAACGCGUGAGGAACCUGCCUCAAAGAGGGGGACAACAGUUGGAAACGACUGCUAAUACCGCAUAAGCCCACAGGUCGGCAUCGACCAGAGGGAAAAGGAGCAAUCCGCUUUGAGAUGGCCUCGCGUCCGAUUAGCUAGUUGGUGAGGUAACGGCCCACCAAGGCGACGAUCGGUAGCCGGACUGAGAGGUUGAACGGCCACAUUGGGACUGAGACACGGCCCAGACUCCUACGGGAGGCAGCAGUGGGGAAUAUUGCACAAUGGGGGAAACCCUGAUGCAGCGACGCCGCGUGGAGGAAGAAGGUCUUCGGAUUGUAAACUCCUGUUGUUGAGGAAGAUAA